UACGUAGGGGGCAAGCGUUGUCCGGAAUCAUUGGGCGUAAAGAGCGCGUAGGCGGCCCGGUAAGUCCGCUGUGAAAGUCAAAGGCUCAACCUUUGAAUGUCAGCGGAUACUGCCGGGCUAGAGUCCGGAAGAGGCGAGUGGAACUCCUGGUGUAGCGGUGGAAUGCGCAGAUAUCAGGAGGAACACCAAUUGCGAAGGCAGCUCGCUGGGACGUUACUGACGCUGAGACGCGAAAGCGUGGGGAGCAAACAGG
rnacentral:rRNA from 1 species